GAGGACUGUCGUCGUCGAUCGGUCGAUGAGGACGAAACGAAACGAAGGGGCAGCUCCUUCUUCCUUCUACCCCCCCGCGCCCGCAGAGGGAACGCGACGAGCGGCGGCAGCAGGAGAGGCGGCAGCGACGACGGGGCGUCCAAGCGAAGAAGAGGGGGCUAGCUAGGGCAGCGGCGAGCUCAGUUGAGAGUGUCUAGGCCAGACCAAGCAAUGGUUUGAACGCCUCUAAUCGUUAAAUCGUCCCAUGCCAAAAGGCAAAUCCCUUUGAAACUCCUAGCGUUCGAAUUACCCGGGGCUGGCAGGAGCGGCCCUCCUGGGCGUCGCCUCCCCGGAGGGCGCGGCACGACAACCUCGAGCUACCGCUCGGUCGAAUCCGGUGCGGAAAGGGACUAUUCGAAUACGGUUGUGACUUUGACUUUCAUCUUAUCUCAUCGAGACUUUGUUUUAAGACAAAAACACACACGCGCAUUCUUGUUUUUGGACUAGGAUCGUUCAUUGUAGCUUACCUAUCCUAGUGCUACAAUGCGUCAAUCGGUUUAGUGUAUGAGGGAGGAUAGGUUUAAUAUGAUUUCAACAUGAUCUCGACGCUGUUAAUUAAACCUAUCCUCCAUCAUCAUGUAUAAACGAACUGUAGAGAUACAGGUACGUCGAUCAGCCUCGUCGGUUCCGUCUCGUAAGGGAUCCUUAGUAGGUCUUUCUGUAGUAAGUCUGCCAGUUGUUCGUAGGGUUACGGCCCACCUGCCGACCUGUGUUGGGGAUGAAGCGUUUGAUGUGAUAACUCGUUAAGUUCGUAUAGGACCCUCACUUCGGUUGCGGAGGCCCAAACGAGCGACCACAAGGCUAGUUUUGGGUAGGUCUUAGUCACCCAGAGGGGUUCCUCAAACUGCGAUCUUGAGUUACCAGGUCAACGUCGUGUUAACCCUUGUAUGAACUAGUUCCAGUGACACCACGGACAACCCGGAAACGACGGCACCUUCGAGAGGUCCUAGCAAAGACAUAAGUAGAGUUGUACUCGCAGUGUGAAAGCCAGUUACUGGAUGACCGAACGACACCAAAAGAUACACCAUCGCCAACAUUACCUCCUAUAGGAUAGUCGCGUACCGCGAUGAAGGCAGCGUCACCGCAGCAGUGACUCCUCACGCUAGGUAUGAAGCUAGUCUGACCAACGGUCGUAGGACCUACGCUCGGUCGAAUAGGAUGUGGUUUUACAGUUUCCUUUACGUUCCACCUCUUGGUUCACACCUUCCUUUUAUUCGUAAAGUCACAAUUGCGCAUGUCUCAUGUAAGGUUAGGGGUACUAUAGUACCGUCUCCAGAUGUUUUUACCGGGACAUCUUCAACGAAAGUGGCAAAUACUCCUGAAGCGUGUGAUGUUCAGUCCUCACAUGUUCGUGUAGUGUCCACCGCACUACCCUCCAGUGCGGCAGUUCAACUAGCCAACCCCUUGGUCACUACGACCGCUCCUAAUGACCGAAGAACGUUUAGUCACCUUGUCUCCGACCCCACUACUGCCUAUGAAGUUCUAGUAUUCCCCGUUCUUACUUACACCAUAGCUUCCUCUACAAUGACGGCCAUACGGGAGCUGUUUCUUGUGCCGGUCUUUGUUACUACAGCGGAAACCUUGUCGGCAUGAAACUCGUGGUUGUGCCAACUUAAUCGACGAACGUACAGUUUACUUCGGUGAUUUAAUCGAAACGACCAAGGUCCUAUGACAUGUGAUCACGUUUACGACUAUACAACAGAUCUUUGUCUUCCCUUAUUAUUACAGUUAUUUUUGUAUUCGUACAGUAGAGAAGUUAGUAAUACACGAUACAAAGUAAAAAUCAUACGUUUCAACUAGACAUGGCGUCUCUACUCGAGUACUACUUGUCAUGACAUUUUACCUUCUUAGGUUCAACUCGGCGGUCCGGGAUUGCCAC
rnacentral:rRNA from 1 species